UGGGGAAUAUUGCACAAUGGGCGCAAGCCUGAUGCAGCCAUGCCGCGUGUAUGAAGAAGGCCUUCGGGUUGUAAAGUACUUUCAGUCGGGAGGAAGGUGGUAAGGUUAAUAACCUUAUCAAUUGACGUUACCGACAGAAGAAGCACCGGCUAACUCCGUGCCAGCAGCCGCGGUAAUACGGAGGGUGCAAGCGUUAAUCGGAAUUACUGGGCGUCAAGCGCACGCAGGCGGUUGAUUGAGUCAGAUGUGAAAUCCCCGGGCUUAACCCGGGACUUGCAUCUGAUACUGGUCAGCUAGAGUCUUGUAGAGGGGGGUAGGAUUCCAUGUGUAGCGGUGAAAUGCGUAGAGAUGUGGAGGAAUACCGGUGGCGAAGGCGGCCCCCUGGACAAAGACUGACGCUCAGGUGCGAAAGCGUGGGGAGCAAACAGG
rnacentral:rRNA from 1 species